GUUACAGUUGGAAGAAAUGUUCUCAAAAUUGACAGUGUCCUACGAUGCUGAUCUUGUCGAGUCUUGGAAGAAGCAGGAAGAAUCGUUAUUAAAAGAACGAGAAAUGACGAAAUCAUCUUCCUUAUCCUGGCAAGCAAAAU